UUUGCCUUGUUGCAAAAGUAGAAAUCGAUACCAUCAAUAUGUCAAUCUAUCUCUAUUUGUAGCACAGCAGCCCCUCCCUUCAUCCUCCCCCCUCCAGGAAGAACAAUAAUCUCUCUAAUUGAGCCACCAGGGAGGCUCCGCACACGGCGGCGCGCAGCUGCUUUCCCAGCCGGCCUACGGGGCUCCUCCAGCGGGGCCCUUACCGUUGCACUUGACGUCGCCGUGGAUGUCGUCCCUCCGCUCCAGCUUUCCCCGGCCCUCGUCCUGCUCCAGCUUGGGCCUGAAGCCGUCCGGAGCCGCGGCGCUUUCCGGUUUGGGCGACGACACGCUGGUACUGUAGGGCGCGCAGGCGGCAAGCGGCUUGCCGUCACCCAGGAUGUCCUUGAUGAGAAAGGAGGAGGUGGCGCUCCGAGGGGCGCAGCCGGCCGCGGCCAGCUGCACUGGUAGCGGCUGCUGAGGCGACAGUGGCAGCGUGUGGUGAUGGUGGUGAUGGUGGUGGUGGUGCUGAAGGCUGGUGUCCGGCGCCACAUGCGCGUCGGCGGAGGGGUGCUCCAUAGUGACCGAGAGCGGGGACGAGGGGGCCGUGCCCACGGUGUCUAUCUCCGAGCACGGCGACGGCGUGUCCUGUCUCCGGAAGUCCGCCGUGCGGCCGUCGGCCAGCCUAAAGUCCCCGUUCAUGAGUGAGCUUGGCGCGCCGGAUAGGAUGGUGUCAAUCCCGAAGCUGGAGCCGCUGGAUGCCUCCAUGUUAACAGGAGAGCAAGGAUGGAGCCUUCAUAACACCACUCCUCUCCUCCACCUCGGCAACCCCCCCAACUCAAAAAGAGGACCAAAAAGCAAAUAAAGCCACGGAGGAAGUCCAAAUCCUGGAGUCCAAGUUGACAUUCAGUGCAUCCUCCCGUCUUCUUCUUCUUCUUCUUCUUCUUCUUCUUGCUCGGCGUCAACUUUGCGCUCCAAAAGUUGGUGCGCACGGGGAGGCGCGCAUGAGGCUGACUCGUCCACAUCAGACUCCUGCUUUCUUUUUGCUGCUAAUCGCCCCACUAGUGCACUACAAUCACUUCCUGUGGUGACGUCACGGCCCACGGCGAGGGGGGAAUUAAUAUUUUCUCCUUUAUAAUAAACACCACAACACUCCUUGUCUCUUCAUCACUCCCCCCCCCCUCUUCAUCCACCUGCUCCUCCCGCCUCCUCUCCAACGCCAUUGGCUGGCUGUGAGGCCAACAGCCAAUCAGCGUGCAGCGUCUUGAAGCGGCUCAGGCAGAGAAACGCAGCUCUUUACUCUCAGGCCACACUGGCAAGCUUUUAUUUCCUAAAGCCACACUAAAGAAAGAAAGAAUGAAGAAUGUUGUUUUUUUUCUCUUUCUCUUUUUUUAAGGAUCAAUAAGUAAAAGUGGGGCUUUGAUACUGCUAGCGUCAUGGCCGUCUUUGGAGGAGAGGCAGAUUCCUGCAAAUAAGCUUGUCAUCUUCAUUAGUAAAGUCAUUAUGGGCUGCUAAUGAGCCUGCACAGGUACAACAACAGACCUUUGCUACGCUUUCAUUUCAGACAUUUUCCCUAAAAAAUAUACUUUCAAUAUUUUCUGGUCACUUUUAAUUAUAUUUUUUAUUAUUAAUAAUAUUUUUUUAAUCUGUCAGCAGUUGUAAUUCAUUCAAAUGUAUUUUCUUGGAGUUGGUGACUUGGUGUCCAAUGCAUUUUGAACGUACUCAAUAUUUUUAUUCCCACUUGAAAUUUAUUUGUGUAUGUGCAUGCAAAAACACUGUGUUGGAAUUUGCCAAUUGUUAAAAAUAUAAACACAAAUAUAAACGC